rnacentral:rRNA from 1 species
UACGGAGGGGACUAGCGUUGUUCGGAAUUACUGGGCGUAAAGCGCACGUAGGCGGAUUUGGAAGUCAGGGGUGAAAUCCCGAGGCUCAACCUCGGAACGGCCUUUGAUACUGCAAAUCUCGAGUCCGGAAGAGGUGAGUGGAAUUCCUAGUGUAGAGGUGAAAUUCGUAGAUAUUAGGAAGAACACCAGUGGCGAAGGCGGCUCACUGGUCCGGUACUGACGCUGAGGUGCGAAAGCGUGGGGAGCAAACAGG